UACGAAGGGGGCUAGCGUUGCUCGGAAUCACUGGGCGUAAAGCGCACGUAGGCGGCUUUUUAAGUCAGGGGUGAAAUCCUGGAGCUCAACUCCAGAACUGCCUCCGAUACUGGGAGCCUUCGAGUCCGGGAGAGGUGAGUGGAACUGCGAGUGUAGAGGUGAAAUUCGUAGAUAUUCGCAAGAACACCAGUGGCGAAGGCGGCUCACUGGCCCGGUACUGACGCUGAGGUGCGAAAGCGUGGGGAGCAAACAGG
rnacentral:rRNA from 1 species